AAGAGCAAUGACGUCACGGGCGUAGGAAUACACGGCGCGAGCGCAUGGCGAGCGGAGUCAAUCCGCGGAGCUGCUGCGCGAGAGAGAGACUGGGAACUGCUUUCGAUUGUUGGCGGGCGCCGCCAUCUUGGUCAGUGAGCCUGCGAGUGGCCUGGACGUCUCCGUGGUGCGGAGUGGCUUCGUUGUGCGUAUUUCAGGCGGUCGUGUUUGCCGAACGGGUUAUUCCGUGCGCGUGUCUCUCCCCCGCGUGAGUCUCUCGUUAUCCGUUUAACCAGUGAGAUCCGCGCGCGUAUCCGAGAUGUCGGAACGGGAGGACAACGUUUACAAGGCGAAACUGGCCGAGCAAGCGGAACGCUACGACGAGAUGGUUGAGGCGAUGAAGAAAGUGGCUUCGUUGGACGUAGAACUUACCGUAGAAGAAAGGAAUCUUCUUUCGGUAGCGUACAAAAAUGUGAUCGGAGCAAGGAGAGCCUCCUGGAGAAUAAUCUCGAGCAUUGAGCAAAAGGAGGAGAACAAAGGUGCCGAGGGGAAACUAGAGAUGAUUCGCCAAUACCGAUCUCAAGUAGAAAAGGAGCUCAGGGAUAUUUGCGCCGAUAUCCUCGGCGUCUUGGAUAAGCACUUGAUACCGUGUGCUUCUACGGGAGAAUCCAAAGUCUUCUAUUAUAAAAUGAAAGGUGAUUACCAUCGUUACUUGGCAGAAUUUGCCAUCGGUAACGACAGAAAGGAAGCAGCGGAGAACUCUCUGGUGGCAUACAAAGCAGCGAGCGAUAUCGCCAUGACGGAACUACCGCCGACCCAUCCCAUUCGCUUGGGAUUAGCGCUCAAUUUCUCCGUGUUCUAUUAUGAGAUCCUCAACAGUCCUGACAGAGCAUGCCGCUUAGCGAAGGCGGCCUUCGACGAUGCGAUCGCCGAACUGGAUACGCUGUCUGAGGAGAGCUACAAAGAUUCUACCCUUAUAAUGCAACUCCUCAGGGACAACCUCACCCUAUGGACGUCGGAUAUGCAGGGAGACGAGUCCGAGUCUGAUCAACAAGACGAUACUGCUGUUGAUACCCACGAUGCCUGAACAUAGAUACCUUUUCCUAUCGUCCUCAUCCUCCCAUCAUGUCUGCACUUGGCGAAGCUGAACAAAAGGAGCAGCUGCAGGAUGUGGAAGAUCAGGACGUAUCGUAACUCUAGCUGUAGUGAGUGUUAUCUUGCGCAUAUAAAACUGAGACACAAGAAAAAACUCUUAAAUAACUCGUAAGCAAAAGAAAAAAAACCAAUUCAGCAGGUGGCAGUUCGGGGUGGGAAGGGGAGAUCUUUAGAAAUUUGCGUGACCCUUUAAAAAAAAGCACGCACUGUAUGAUUACUUCAAAACAAAGCAGCAGCAGCAGUGACAACAAAAUACAACAACAACAACAUUAAUAAUUAAUAAUAAAUAAAUCAUUCAGUUCAUCCGGCAUUAUAUUACGUACAUAUACAUACAAUUGAGUUACAGAACACGCAGAAAGUAACGAGACAAAAGGACAUGCAUCCUGCGGUAAAUAGAGAGACUGCAAAGCAUUUAGGAGUAAAGGCACUUUUCUGUUGCCCCGUUUUUGCGUAUCGAGAGAAAACGUCGUAUUUGCACUUUGUAUGCGUCCGAUAGAUGUGCGAACGACGUCGAGAACGUCGAGCCGAUGUCGAUUCCGGCGCGCCGGUCGGUUUAGUCUCGGCAAUUCAGAUUUGAUUUCCGUCACAGUGAAUCAGAACGAAUUAUAUGUCCUAUUCCUAUGUUUUACAAUAGUGAAAGAGGAACAAAAAGGCGUAUGGAUUGCACGUCAUAUCGGGAUAUAUUUACAUGACUGUCCGUUUUUACAUCUCCACCUGGAGUUCUCCUCUUCCAAUCUCCUCCUUUUCGUUCCUCGCCUUUUUUUUUUUUUUUCUUUACUAUGCGCACGAUAUUUUAUUACACACGUACUGUAAUUAUUACGGUGUUUAUUAGCGUGUAAAUUGAUUUAUUUCGAAGAUAAUUUGCACGUGUCCUCUCUCCCUUCCUCCCCCUCUCUCUCUCUCCCUCUCUCUCUCUCUCUCUCUCUUUACGGAAAUAACGGCGGCGCCCUCAUUGUCAGUUGUCAAGACGGACCUCGCUUUCGAGCUUGUAUCCUGUAAUAGAUAUGUACUUCCAACAAGAUUCGAUACAAUUGUAAUGUUAUAGAUAACCAAAAAGAAAAACUUUUAAAUGCAUGGAUUCUUGGCAUAGCCGAGCUGAGGAGAAGAGAAUGUGCUUACUUCGAUUGUCUCCUUCUCCCCAUCUCCCACCCUCUGUACCUCGUCAAAUGCAAUAACGUCUGAUUUUGUGAGUUUUCGAAUGGAGACCGCGUCGCGAAGGAGCUCUGUGACACGAGCGAGAAGCGAUAAGGCGUAUCAUCGAAAUUCUCUUACGGCAAUCUUUUAAUUUUCGGUUCUUUUACGCAACUCUUCCGAGGUAAAUGCGUCCCAUCGCGUCAGCUCGAUGAGCAGCGUCGUGAUAAAAAAAAAAGUGAAAAAAAAGAAAGAAGGGGGAAAAUGAAAAAGAUUACGUUAUCGUAGGUGAGCCUUUUUAGCGCGUUACGUUACUCACAGCAAACAAAGUAACUAUCUAGCUAGUCUGUAAUGUGGUUGUACGUUUUCAUACGCCCGUUGUGUAAACUAAAUAUCGAUUGCUGUGGUAUAAGAACAGAAAAUAAAUGACUGUACCCCGACUUUUUCCACCCGCACAUUUACACACGCAAUUUACGCUCUAUAUAUACUUAUUAUAAAUAUAUUCAUAUUUCUUCUAUCCUCGUCCUUCCCUUCCGGAUGGACGAUAGUCGGAAUCAGUAUUUGUAAUUAUCCAUUCGCCGAUUCAUCGACGAGCCAUUCCAUCGACUUUUUACGUUGAAACAUUCCAUUGUUCUUAUAAUGAGGAGUCUGUCGGGAUCGUAGAGAUUUACAGUGAAAAGUAUCCUUUCUUCAGAUCGAUGAGGUAAGCUUAGCUAGUUACUGACCAUUUUACGCAUUAAACUUAUCUACUUAUUAUAUAGCUAGAACUACCAAAAUCCAUUUAUAAGCUCACUCAGUUUUCUCGCUGAUAACGUGACGGAGAGGAGACGCCGAGUUUAAGCGCAGCAGAGAAGUGAGGGCGUUCGGCAACAACAAGAAAAGCAUAAUUUGGCGAGAAAAACGCGGACCGCAGCCUCCGCGAGGAAGACGAAAAA